CGUGGACCCGGCAUCGCCGGGUGGCUCGGCCGGGCGCCUAUCCCUCGGACAAUU
rnacentral:ncRNA from 1 species